UAUAACGGUGUCUCGCUUCAUCAAGACGAGAAAUUUAAUAAAGAGAUUCCAGAGGCUUUUAUUAAUGUGGCGAAGCUCGCCGAUGUAAGCUGAGAUUGUGCAAUGGAAGUUGUAUAUGACGCGCAUCGCGAUUCGAAGAGCAAUUUAUAGAACGAAUCGAUGCCGUGUGUCGUCGCCACUUGAAUAAUACAGCUGAGCGUAUUUCGGCCGUAGUCGAAGCUAGAUCAGGAGCUUGAUGAGAUUUUAGCUUGAAACAUACCCGCGGGAAAACAAGAUCGUUCGAAGAAAGUGUGUCACGCGGUAAGCGACUUGUUAUCGAGGAGCCACUAUACAGCGUCUGCCAAAAAACGACGACAACGGCGAGAAUGUCUAGAUCAAGCCAGCGAGAAAACUGGAGGCUUAUUAUGCCAGGCUGUUUUCCUCUUGAGAAAAUUCCGAUAGCUGUAUCAUUUUUCAUUCCGCGAUUGAGGGAUGGUGAAGCGUUUCUUUUAAACUACUGUGCUGGCUGACGAUCGUCUACAGCACGAGCGGUUUACUUCUUUCUUUUGACUGAUGCGGACAGUACGACCGAACCGAUGACGCUGACUAUAUAGUUUAUGCCGUCUAAUUUUGUCGCAAAUUAAACGCGAAUUUUUCCUACUACAUAAUACAGCUCGAUAAAAUCAAAGCAUCAGCCAAUCGAAGAAAGCAGAGCUGCGUAUCCGAGGGGCAAUCGCGAGCAGGGGCGUUCGAUAAAAAACAUCGAGCCCACUCAAGCGGAAAAAAGCUCGACGAUUGACGCGAAUACAGCUAUAUACAGUAGAUAUUUAUGCAAAUAAGCGCAGAGCGAGCGAAGAGAGCUGAAAAUUGGUCGAUCGAAGAUGCGCUCGUUCGCGAUUCGUCAUUAGUAUUUGGAGUAUUUUGAAGUAGGUCGAGCUUGAACGUGUGUGAUUUCGCUGAUUAUCUGCAGCGAUUUCCACCGACUGCGGCUCCUCUUUGCGCGAUUUACUCCCGCGUCAGCUUUUCACCUCCGCUGCUUAUUUUUGCUCUGAAAGAAAUUAUUUUUUCAACGAAACCAAGUCCCUUGGAUAAUUUAUUCCGUACGUGGGCGUAGGCAUGUAUAGGUACGUCCGAAAAUCCGAGGGGAGAAAAAACAUCCCCUACUACUACACAAUCCGCGUCUAACGAUCGCAGGGAUGAGUACAGAACAAGCGGAUAUAACGCUGAGAGAGCAGCGGAGCUCGAGUACGUAAGAGGAUUUUUCCUCCGCGACGCUGCGCAAUUGGAACAGCGAGAUGCGUUUUAACUAAAAUAUUCAGCCGUACACUCUCUAUUCGCGAUUAGUUUGUCCACUCGGAAAUUAAAAAAAAAAAAAGUCCACUGCGAAUCCCAAA